UGGAGUUGAGCGGCCCGCCUGGGCCACUAUGAAGACUCCGCGUACGCCAGUGGCUAAGG
rnacentral:snoRNA from 21 species